rnacentral:lncRNA from 1 species
AUUCCAUAUGAAAAAAAUUUUAAAAAUUUUAAUUUUUGCUCCUUGAAAGGCGUUCUUGUUCAUAAUUUUUGAUUUAUUUUAUUCUAAUAAAUUAAUUUGAAUGUCGAAUAUGAUAUUCAUUGCAGAUAUUUGAUCACACUAUUUAUCUACUAAAUACUAUAUAUUUUUUUAACAAAUCAAAAAAAUAUCCCAAAUAAUAUGCUCAUGCAUUCUAACAGGAUCCAAAUAUAU